GUCGGGGCAGAUAUAGCACUUCAAAGGAAAGACAGCAGAUAAGCAUUUACGUCAAAUACUGCCGGAGCUUCAUCAAGAACUGAACAUAUGGUGCACCAAUCAAGGAGUGUUGUAGCUGAAUUAUUUCCUGACUGUUUGUUGUCUGACCGUCCCAGUCGAAAUAGUGCAUGUUAGAGGUUUGGUUUGGUUUCUUAAGCCAGCAGUGGCCACUGAGUUGACCUCACUUUGUGGAUGGCGGUGGUGAGGUGGCUGGGUUUGUGUGGUGGGUUGAUCACUUUAUUUUUUGGUUAUUUUUUUAGGCUUGCUGUGUGAUUGCUGUGAGCUUGACUGCUGUGAGAACA